AUUACAUGCAGGGCGAGAAGGUGUGGAAGGAGAUUUGCAUCAAACGCUCCCCCGUCGUGAAGCGCGCGCGAUGGGUCCUCGUCAAUUCCUUCUACGACCUCGAGGCGCCCACCUUCGAUUUCAUGGCCAGCGAGCUCGGACCUAGAUUUAUCCCCGCGGGGCCACAGUUUUUGCUCGACGAUUCCAGGAAGAAUGUGGUGCUUCGCCCCGAGAACGAGGAUUGCCUUGGCUGGAUGGAUGAGCAGGAGCCUGGAUCGGUGCUCUACAUCUCGUUUGGCAGCGUCGCGGUGCUGAGCGUGGAGCAAUUCGAGGAGCUCGCGGGAGCUCUCGAGGCAUCGAAGAAGCCAUUCUUGUGGGUGAUUCGACCUGAGCUGGUGGUGGGUGGUCACUCGAACGAAUCUUACAAUGGGUUUUGCGAGAGGACCAAGAACCAGGGAUUCAUCGUUUCCUGGGCGCCACAGCUGAGAGUUCUCGCCCAUCCCUCCAUGGGAGCGUUUCUCACGCACUGCGGAUGGAAUUCCGUCCAGGAGAGCAUCGCUAAUGGCAUUCCAAUGCUGGGGUGGCCUUACGGGGGCGAGCAAAGCACCAACUGUAAGUUCAUAGUGGAGGACUGGAAGAUCGGGGUUAGAUUCUCCAAGACUGGUGCAGGGAUUGAUCGAGCGAGGAGAGAUUGAGGCCGGCAUAAAAAAGGUGAUGGAUAGCGAGGAGGGGAAGAAGAUGAAGAAGAGAGUGGAGAACUUGAAGAUCCUUGCGAGGAAAGCUAUGGACAAAGAGAAUAGGAAGUCGUUUCGUGGCCUCCAGGGAUGGCUGGAAGAUCUCAAAGCUAUGACUGGAACAAUGAAAAGUCACACUUGCCCGAAUAAACACAACUUCUGCAAAAGCUGGUCGAUGUGUACGAUCAAAUGGAAAACAACCAACUGGCUGGACAAGAUUCUCGUGGAUAAAGUGAUGGUUCUAUGGUUAUAAGAUCCGCAUGGAUCAAUUCUCAGAGUGGGAAGAGACCUAAGAAAUCAUGAGAUCCUUGCGAAGUUCUAGCGAUUCUUCCUCCCCCAGUAGCAAGAUCCAUGUCGUGGUCGUUCCCCUGCCCGAGCAAGGCCAUAUGUCCCCAAUGAUCCAUCUCUGCAAGCUCAUCGCUCGAGAUCCAAGCUUCACGAUCUCCUUGGUCAAUGUGGACAGCCUCCACGACGAGUUCGUCAAGCACUGGGUGGCGCCGGCGGGGCUGGAAGAUCUGCGCCUCCAUUCCAUCCCAUACUCGUGGCAGCUCCCGCUAGGAGCCGAUGCCCACGCGCAGAGAAAUCUGGCGGAAUGGUUCACGGCAUCCGCGCGAGAGCUCCCAGGCGGCCUCGAGGAUUUGAUCCGCAAGCUCGGGGAGGAGGGUGAUCCGGUCAACUGCAUCAUCUCGGAUUACUUCUGCGAUUGGAGCCAGGAUGUGGCGGAUGUGUUUGGCAUCCCCAGGAUCAUUCUUUGGUCAGGAACCGCGGCAUGGACGAGCUUGGAGUACCACAUUCCAGAGCUUCUGGAGAAGGAUCACAUAUUUCCUAGCAGAGGUACGAAUCUUUGAAUUUACCAUGAACAUUAGUUCUUUUCCUCCUUCCCUUAUUCAAAUUUUGCCUGUUCUUCCCCGAUUCGUGCGCAGGGAGAGCUUCCCCGGAGGAGGUCAAUUCCGUGAUCAUCGACUACGUCCGAGGAGUCAAGCCGCUCCGCCUGGCCGAUGUGCCCGAUUACAUGCAGGGCAACGAGGUGUGGAAGGAGAUUUGCAUCAAGCGCUCCCCCGUCGUGAAGCGCGCGCGAUGGGUCCUCGUCAAUUCCUUCUACGACCUCGAGGCGCCCACCUUCGAUUUCAUGGCCAGGGAGCUCGGGCCUCGAUUCAUCCCCGCGGGGCCACUGUUCUUGCUCGACGAUUCCAGGAAGAAUGUGGUGCUUCGCCCGGAGAACGAGGAUUGCCUUGGCUGGAUGGAUGAGCAGGAGCCUGGAUCGGUGCUCUACAUCUCGNNNNNNNNNNNNNNNNNNNNNNNNNNNNNNNNNNNNNNNNNNNNNNNNNNNNNNNNNNNNNNNNNNNNNNNNNNNNNNNNNNNNNNNNNNNNNNNNNNNNCAUUCUUGUGGGUGAUUCGAUCCGAGCUCGUGGUGGGUGGACACUCAAAUGAAUCCUACGAUGGGUUUUGCGAGAGGACCAAGAACCAAGGAUUCAUCGUUUCCUGGGCGCCACAGCUGAAAGUUCUCGCCCAUCCCUCCAUGGGAGCGUUUCUCACGCACUGCGGAUGGAAUUCCAUCCAGGAGAGCAUCACACACGGGAUUCCAAUGCUGGGGUGGCCUUACGGGGCCGAGCAAAACACCAACUGUAAGUUCAUAGUGGAGGACUGGAAGAUCGGGGUUAGAUUCUCCAAGACCGCGAUGCAGGGAUUGAUCGAGCGAGGAGAGAUCGAGGACGGCAUAAGAAAGGUGAUGGAUAGCGAGGAGGGGAAGGAAAUGAAGGAGAGAGUGGAGAGCUUGAAGAUCCUUGCCAGGAAAGCCAUGGACAAAGAGCAUGGGAAAUCGUUUCGUGGCGUCCAAGCAUUCUUGGAAGAUCUCAAAGGUUUGAAGAUCCAUCGCGAGUGAGUGAAAGAUCCAUUCUUUGAAGAGAACUUUAAGAACUUUGUACCAGUUCUCAAGAUAAUUAAUGUUCCAACUUCUUUGAUCCAUACCGGUUUCUUCCUCACUGAGAUUGCGCAUAAGCAUUGGAAAGCCAGACGCAGAGCGCAGGAGGUGCCAACAUCCCUGCGGCGAUCCUGGCUGCUCGAUCCGACUCCGAGUUGAGAAAUCCGCAGGGAUUACCGCGAGGAGAUGGAAUUCCUCGCGAAUGGCCGCUACCAACUGGGGAUAUCUUUAGCGGAACCCCCUGGGAUCACCACAAUGCCCUCUGAUAGACUCUGAGCAGCGUUUUACUUGACUAGAUGCGAAAGAGCUUCGUUAGAACCUACAUGAAAACGUUUGGAACCAAUAUUAAAGUCGAUGCUUACAAACUUCAGCGCAACAUUGUUGCUCGGAAUCUUUGCGAAGUUGCAUUUGCCCAGACGAGGCAUCAUUUGCGGCCGAAGGGAAGACACCAUUAGCGCGCUGUAGUCAUGCAUUUCUUUAAGAAUCCGGGAUUAGAGAGAUGUCUUAGAGCACUUACUUAAUGUUACAUGCUCUUACCAUGUUUUUCUUCUCUCUUUUGCUCGUCCCAGCCGCCAUGCACGGAAAUAUCUAGAUUUUUCCCAACUUAAAAGAGAUCAAGAUUCAUGUGGCAGUUGUCCAGGCAUGCAAGGGAUCAUUGCCCCAAAUAUCGAUCCAAACUUUACAGUCCCUUAGCUUUUGGAAUUGUGAAACUUAAUCCCAGCGAGGGGAUAAUAAUCCUUGGAACCAUCAUCAGGAUCUUAAUCUCCAGAAAUUGGACAAAACACUAAACUACCAAGGAAUCUUCUCCAGAGACGCCUAGUAGUCUAAACAGUUUACGCACAAAUCUUUCCUUGCCAAAAAAAAAUCAUGGCUUCUACCAAGGUCCAUGUCUUGGCGGUUCCAGUGGCCGCCCAAGGCCAUAUCUCCCCAAUGAUCCAUCUCUGCAAGUUCAUCGCUCAAGAUCCAAGCUUCACAAUCUCCGUGGUCAAUAUCGACAGCCUCCACGACGAAUUCAUCAAGCACUGGGCGGCGCUGGAAGAGAUACGCCUCCAUUCCAUCCCAUUCUCGUGGAAGGUCCCGCGAGGAGUCGACGCCCACGUCGUGCGAAAUCUGGGGGACUGGUUCGCGGCAGCUGCGCGAGAGCUCCCCGGCGGCCUCGAGGAUUUGAUCCGCAAGCUCGGCGAGGAGGGCGAUCCGGUCAGCUGUAUCGUCUCGGAUUACUUCUGCGAUUGGACCCAGGAUGUGGCGGAUGUGUUUGGCAUCCCCAGGGUCAUUCUUUGGCCGGGCACCGCGGCAUGGACGAGCUUGGAGUACCACAUUCCAGAGCUUCUGGAGAAGGAUCACAUAUUUCCUAGCAGAGGUACGAAUCCCCUAUUUUGGCCAUGAACUUUCCCUGUUCUUCCCUUGGAAUUAAACGUUUCCCCUGUUCUUCCCUUGUUUUCCCUGGAAUUACCCUGUUCUUCCCUUGGAAUACCAUCGUUCUUCCCUUUAGCCCUCUUCCCUUUGGAAUUAACAUCCCCUGUUCUUCCCUUGGGCUGAUCGAUGCAUGCGCAGGGAGGGCUUCCGCGGACGAGGCCAAUUCUGUGAUCAUCGAUUACGUCCGAGGAGUCAAGCCGCUCCGCCUGGCCGAUGUGCCCACGUACCUUCAGGGCGACGAGGUGUGGAAGGAGAUUUGCAUCAAGCGCUCCCCCGUCGUGAAGCGCGCGCGCUGGGUCCUCGUCAAUUCCUUCUACGACCUAGAGGCGCCCAGUUUUGAUUUCAUGGCCAGCGAGCUCGGGCCUCGAUUCAUCCCCGCGGGACCACUGUUCUUGCUCGACAAUUCCAGGAAGAAUGUGGUGCUUCGACCCGAGAACGAGGAUUGCCUUCACUGGAUGGAUGCGCAGGAGCGUGGAUCUGUUCUCUACAUCUCAUUUGGCAGCAUCGCGGUGCUGAGCGUGGAGCAGUUCGAGGAGCUCGCGGGAGCUCUCGAGGCAUCGAAGAAGCCAUUCUUGUGGGUGAUUCGACCUGAGCUGGUGGUGGGUGGUCACUCGAACGAAUCUUACAAUGGGUUUUGCGAGAGGACCAAGAACCAGGGAUUCAUCGUUUCCUGGGCGCCACAGCUGCGAGUUCUCGCCCAUCCCUCCAUGGGAGCGUUUCUCACUCACUGCGGAUGGAAUUCCGUCCAGGAGAGCAUCGCGAAUGGCAUUCCAAUGCUGGGGUGGCCUUACGGGGGCGAGCAAAACACCAACUGUAAGUUUAUAGUGGAGGACUGGAAGAUCGGGGUUAGAUUCUCCAAGACAGUGGUGCAGGGAUUGAUCGAGCGGGGAGAGAUCGAGGCUGGCAUAAGAAAGGUGAUGGAUAGCGAGGAGGGGAAGAAGAUGAAGGAGAGAGUGGAGAACUUGAAGAUCCUUGCGAGGAAAGCUAUGGACAAAGAGAAUGGGAAGUCGUUUCGUGGCCUCCAGGGAUGGCUGGAAGAUCUCAAAGUUAUGAAGCUGGUUCGCGAGUGAGUGAACGAUGCAUUCUUUGAUAAGAAUUUUCUAUCUAUCAGUUCUAAAGAUAAACACAUGCUAGUCAAGUAAAACGCUUGUGCCUGGGAUUUGGAUAAUGUUGGAAAUGGCUGAGUAAACAAACAAAAAUUACUUAACAAAAUUGUUCAGGAAUGUUCUAUUGCUAGUGGCCGACCAUAAGUUACAAUCAAAGCGAAUGGACGUUAAUUAUAUGCUCUAUGUAACAUUUCUUGGUGAGGAAAAAAGCAGAUGCAAAAUAACUGUAAGACUUAGUUAAUUAAAACUAACAUGAAAACGUUUGGAUUUUCGAUGUUUACAACAAAAAACUCUACAAAUGCUUGAGUACAGUAUUGUUGCUCGGAAUCUUUGCUAACUUGCAUUUGCCCAGACCAGGCAUCAUUUCCAGCCAAAGAGAAGACAACGAGCGUUCUCUUGAUCGAUAAUCAUGCACUUAUUUUAGGCUGGACUUAGCCACGGCCAUUUUGUGGACAAGAGCACCACUCAUGAAUUUGAUUGCUCCAAUGUUAAAUGCUCUUACCAUAUUCUCAAAGGCUGGAAGCUUCCCAGCCGCCAGGUGUAGGGACAGAUUUUUGCCACCUUCUCAAGAUUCAUGCGGCAAGUGUCCAUAGGAUCAUUGCUUGUUCAAAUUCAGGAGCUGUAAUGGAUCCGAAGCGAGCUUGCAAUUUGGGUCAAUGUGAGUCUCGUUCUAGAGCAGAAUUGCCUCUCACAACGCUUAUGCUAAUCUUCCUUUUGUAUAAGUUUUGCAGGCCUAGGGUUCGCUCUAUCAACUUGUGUAAACAUCCGUUGCCUUCCCCGCCAAGAAAACCAUUCUAGUAAAUACCAAUGAACCCUGCCAAGGAAACCAUGGCUUCUCGCAAGGUCCAUGUCUUGGCGUUUCCAGCGCCCGCGCAAGGCCAUAUCUCCCCAAUGAUCCAUCUCUGUAAGUUCAUCGCCCAAGAUCCAAGCUUCACAAUCUCCUGGGUCAAUAUCGACAGCCUCCACGACGAGUUCGUCAAGCACUGGGUGGCGCCGGCGGGGCUGGAAGAUCUGCGCCUCCAUUCCAUCCCAUUCUCGUGGAAGCUCCCGCGAGGAGUCGAUGCCAACGUCGCAGGAAAUGUGGGAGACUGGUUCACGGCAGCCGCGCGAGAGCUCCCCGGCGGUCUCGAGGAUUUGAUCCGCAAGCUCGGCGAGGAGGGGGAUCCGGUCAGCUGUAUCGUCUCGGAUUACAUCUGCGAUUGGACCCAGGAUGUGGCGGAUGUGUUUGGGAUCCCCAGGAUCAUUCUUUGGUCGGGCAAUGCGGCAUGGACGAGCUUUGAGUACCACAUUCCAGAGCUUCUGGAGAAAGAUCACAUCUUUCCAAGCAAAGGUACGAAUCUCUGUUCUUCCCUUGUUCUUCCCUUGGAAUUAAGCGUUUCCCCUAUGCUUCCCUUGUAUUUACCCUCUUCUUCCCUUGGAAUACCAUCAAAUUUCCCCUGCUCUUCCUUUGGAAUUAAACCUCCUCUUGUUGACGCAGGGAAAGCUUCCCCGGACGAGGCCAAUUCCGUGAUCAGGGCCAGGAGGUGUUGAAGGAGAUUUGCAUCAAGCGCUCCCCCGUCGUCAAGCGCGCGCGCUGGGUCCUCGUCAAUUCCUUCUACGACCUCGAGGCGCCCACCUUCGAUUUCAUGGCCAGCGAGCUCGGGCCUCGAUUCAUCCCCGUGGGGCCACUGUUCCUGCUCGACGAUUCCAGGAAGAAUGUGGUGCUUCGACCCGAGAACGAGGAUUGCCUUCACUGGAUGGAUGCGCAGGAGCCUGGAUCGGUGCUCUACAUCUCGUUUGGCAGCGUCGCGGUGCUGAGCGUGGAGCAGUUUGAGGAGCUCGCGGGAGCUCUCGAGGCAUCGAAGAAGCCAUUCUUGUGGGUGAUUCGACCUGAGCUGGUGGUGGGUGGUCACUCGAACGAAUCUUACAAUGGGUUUUGCGAGAGGACCAAGAACCAGGGAUUCAUCGUUUCCUGGGCGCCACAGCUGAGAGUUCUCGCCCAUCCCUCCAUGGGAGCGUUUCUCACGCACUGCGGAUGGAAUUCCGUCCAGGAGAGCAUCGCUAAUGGCAUUCCAAUGCUGGGGUGGCCUUAACGGGGCGAGCAAAACACCAACUGUAAGUUCAUAGUGGAGGACUGGAAGAUCGGGGUUAGAUUCUCCAAGACAGUGGUGCAGGGAUUGAUCGAGCGAGGAGAGAUCGAGGCCAGCAUAAGAAAGGUGAUGGAUAGCGAGGAGGGGAAGAAGAUGAAGGAGAGAGUGGAGAACUUGAAGAUCCUUGUGAGGAGAGCUAUGGACAAAGAGAAUGGGAAGUCAUUUCAUGGCCUCCAGGGAUGGCUGGAAGAUCUCAAAGCUAUGAAGCUGGAUUGCGAGUGAGUGAAUGAUGCAUUCUUUGAUAAGAACUUUCUAUCUAUCAGUUCUUAAGAUAAAGACAUGCUAGUCAAGUAAACCGUUUGUGCGGGAUUUGGAUAAUGUCUGAGCAAAUAAACAAAAAUUAUUUGACAUAAUUGCUCAGGAUGCUUUAUUGCUAGUGGUUGACCAUAAGUUAUAAUCAAAGCAAUGGACAUUAUAGUCUUGUGUUCUAUGCAACAUCUCUCGGUGAGGAAAAAAGCAAAUGUAAAAGAACUGUAAGACUAAAAAAUUUUUAUUUUUACAUAAAAAUGUUUGGGAUUGUCAAAAACAAACUUUACAAAUACUUGAGUAUAGUAUUUGAAACGAACAAGAAAGCGAACUCUAGGCUAACCUCCCAACCCUUAAAGGUGUUAUGGCUUUAAAUCCCAUAGGUUAUGGAAUAUUUUUAGAAUAUUUCUAUGUUUCAUGUCAUUCUCCCAUCCCUCAUGACUCAACCACAUACAGCAGCAUUGAGAAGCUAAACGAGCCUCAUAUGAAGGGAAUUCAAGACAAUACGGCCAUAAAAAAAACAUGUGCAAACGGCAACAGAAACAUUGUGACAAGCAGCCAUAAAAGAAAGAAAGCAAUAUGGCUUUCUCACAUGACAAUACGGUUAUGAAAACAAAAGAAUGAGAAUAGAACAAACAACUCAAAUCAUAUAGCAAUACAGUGUAAGUUACAAAUUUUUCCUUUCUAAUUUGUCAACUUACCUCAUCUAUCCGACCAACACUGUUUUAACCUUAGUUAGGUUCCCUCACCAAAGUUUUCGCUUAUUGUACUAACUCCUACUUAGUCUUACUUGGUCCUAUUUGGUUUUAUCUAUUCAUUGCAUGAGCAAUAGAACAUUAGCCAUUUGUUCACAGAUUCCCAAAUUUCUCUCAAUCCCCCUCCCCGAGUUAGACUGGACUUAAGGUUCGACUACACUCCCCGCAAGUAUAAACAGCCAAACACACUAAGCUUCUAAAUUCUUAACAUCCCUUGGUACAACAAGACUUGAUCAUAGGACCUUCUAAAUCCCAAGCCUUGGGUGCAACACUUGCUUCGGGAUGUUGAGGAAAAACACUAUAGCCUAAUGGCCUAGUAUGGGUACCUCUACUCCCCCACUUCCAUCCCGAAGGGAAGACCUAAGCCCCUAAAAAGGGCGAGGAUCAAUGAUCUACAAGGUACUUAAGUGGGGCACCACUUCAUAUGAGCCAGGACCACCAUAGUCAGUUUUCCUUUCGGGAGUGAGAGUUGCUCUUGAGCAUUUCCUUGGUGGCCCAUCCGACACCACCCAAGUCCAUACCCACUCCCACCCAAGGCCCUUUGGUCCCAAUCUCAACCUCAAGUCAGUUUGGAAGCACCACUGGAAAGUUCGUUCAAGAUUGAUUUCUGGACCUCAUUAUUUCUACUAUACUUUUUUGGAACCCCCUUCCUCCUUCAUCCGCGAGAACAAGGCGAGAGCGAGCUCGACCUCGCUGUAGUUACAGUGGCCCAUGAUGAUCGCAGUCCAGGAAACCACGUCGUGGAACUCCAUCUUGUUGAAGACGAUCUUGGCAUACUCCAGGCUUCCACACUUGGAGUACAUAUCCACGAGACCGCUGGAGACGAACACAUCCCCGGAGUACUGGUUCUUGACAAUCUCGGCAUGGAUCACUGCUCCUCUUUCCAAAGUAGCCACCUUGACAAGCCUGCCACCUUCGACCACUGUCCCUUUCUCUCGAGCUGCGACCAUGGAGCAGGCCUGGAGAGCUGCCAGAUAAGUUCUCGCGUUUGGGAGAAGACCAUCUUCCUGGAUCCGCGAGAAGAGCUCGAGAGCUCCCUUGCCAUCGCCGUUCUGGACGUAACCUUUGAUCAUGGUGUUCCACGAGAUGGCAUCACGGAACUGGAUCCCAUCGAAGACCUUGCGAGCAUCCGCGACGAGGCCAAAGUGCGCGUAGCUGUCGAUCAGAGUGUUGGCCACCGACACAUCUCGAUCGUUCUUGGUGGCGACGAGAUCGCUGUGGAGGCUCAUGAGAUCCCAUCUCUCGCUGCAAGCCUUGAUCGCGAGCACGAUCACUGGCACGCACGGCCGGAUCCCACACUGGCGCAUUCUUCCAUAGGUAUCCCGCGCCUUCUCCCCCUCGAGCAGCCGCUUGGUCACGUACACGGGCUUGUCGGCUGUCCGGGACGGCGCCUUGAACCAUUUGAGCGGCGCGAGCUGUGACAGGCGCUGCGUCGCUAGGAUCGGCGAUGGCCGGAAGACCGGCAUUCGAUCGAGAGAGAGGAGACUUACCGCGAUGGCGAUGGCGGCAUUGCUCCUCCCAACAGCCCUAGUUUUAGGGAUUUGUCCCUUUCAUAUAAUUUGCCAGAGAUGGGUAUUUUGGACGAGCAAGCGUUUUACUUGACUAGAUCCAAACGAGCAGUGUUACGUCGUUAGAACUAACUUGAAAAACAUAAAGAAACAAUUUAAAAUAGAUGAUUGAAAGAAAGCUUUAGAGAUGAUAAACUAAAGCUUAAGAGGACAACUGGAACAAUGAAAAGUCGCACUUGCCCGGGAAAGGCAUUUAAAGGUUUCAUAAUAAACACAACUUCUGCAAAAGCUGGUCGAUGUGUACGAUCAAAUGGAAAACAACCAACUGGCUGGACAAGAUUCUCGUGGAUAAAGUGAUGGUUCUAUGGUUAUAAGGUCCGCAUGGAUCAAUUCUCAGAGUGGGAAGAGACCUAAGAAAUCAUGAGAUCCUUGCAAAGUUCUAGCGAUUCUUCCUCCCCCAGUAGCAAGAUCCAUGUCGUGGUCGUUCCCCUGCCCGCGCAAGGCCAUAUGUCCCCAAUGAUCCAUCUCUGCAAGCUCAUCGCUCGAGAUCCAAGCUUCACGAUCUCCUUGGUCAAUGUGGACAGCCUCCACGACGAGUUCGUCAAGCACUGGGUGGCGCCGGCGGGGCUGGAAGAUCUGCGCCUCCAUUCCAUCCCAUACUCGUGGCAGCUCCCGCUAGGAGCCGAUGCCCACGCGCUGGGAAAUGUGGGGGACUGGUUCACGGCAUCCGCGCGAGAGCUCCCAGGCGGCCUCGAGGAUUUGAUCCGCAAGCUCGGCGAGGAGGGUGAUCCGGUCAACUGCAUCAUCUCGGAUUACUUCUGCGAUUGGAGCCAGGAUGUGGCGGAUGUGUUUGGCAUCCCCAGGAUCAUUCUUUGGUCGGGAAACGCGGCAUGGACGAGCUUGGAGUACCACAUUCCAGAGCUUCUGGAGAAAGAUCACAUCUUUCCUAGCAGAGGUACGAAUCUUUGAAUUUACCAUGAACAUUAGUUCUUUCCCUCCGUCCCUUAUUCAAAUUUUGCCUGUUCUUCCCCGAUUCGUGCGCAGGGAGAGCUUCCCCGGAGGAGGCCAAUUCCGUCAUCAUUGACUACGUCCGAGGGGUGAAGCCCCUCCGCCUGGCCGAUGUGCCCGAUUACAUGCAGGGCAACGAGGUGUGGAAGGAGAUUUGCAUCAAGCGCUCCCCCGUCGUGAAGAGCGCGCGCUGGGUCCUUGUCAAUUCCUUCUACGACCUCGAGGCGCCCACCUUCGAUUUCAUGGCCAGCGAGCUCGGGCCCCGAUUCAUCCCCGCGGGGCCACUGUUCUUGCUCGACGAUUCCAGGAAGAACGUGGUGCUUCGUCCGGAGAACGAGGAUUGCCUUGGCUGGAUGGAUGAGCAGGAGCCUGGAUCGGUGCUCUACAUCUCGUUUGGCAGCAUCGCGGUGCUGAGCGUGGAGCAAUUCGAGGAGCU
rnacentral:lncRNA from 1 species